rnacentral:rRNA from 1 species
UACGAAGGGGGCAAGCGUUGUUCGGAUUUACUGGGCGUAAAGCGUACGUAGGCGGAUGAUUAAGUCAGGGGUGAAAUCCCGGGGCUCAACCUCGGAACUGCCUUUGAUACUGGUCAUCUAGAGUCCGGGAGAGGUGAGUGGAACUCCUAGUGUAGAGGUGAAAUUCGUAGAUAUUAGGAAGAACACCAGUGGCGAAGGCGGCUCACUGGCCCGGAACUGACGCUGAGGUACGAAAGCGUGGGGAGCAAACAGG